rnacentral:rRNA from 1 species
AUGGCGAACAAGAAAGAUAGGAGGUUCAGAGAUGGCAUGGCCAUGGUGCGCAAGAGGUCGCCGCCGGGGCCAACAACGCUGCACGAGGUCCCCGACAAGCUCCUCGAGCUCAUCCUCCUUCACUUGAGCUCGCCGGUCUGGCUCAUCCACGCCGCCGCCACAUGCAAGCGGUGGCGCCGCAUCAUCGUUGACAGAAGGUUCCUCUGUAACAUUUCCAACCGCGACCCCUCAUCCGUUGUCGCAGGCCACUACCAUAACCACGCGUCCCCCGUCGACGGCCGUCGCCACGUCUUUGUUCCCUCUUCGCCGGCGCUCGCUGUCGGUAGCCACCACUUCUCCCUCGACUUCCUCCCUGCGGGUGGCGGCACCUCAUGGGAGAUCAUCGACAGCUGCCACAGCCUCCUCCUCCUCGCCAAGAAGAAGACCGGGUGGAGACGCCACGAAAUUGUCCAGAGUUUUAUAUGUUGUUUUCAUUGCAAAAUGAUGGGUCUCCUUGCUUGCCGGACCUCCUCGUCUGCGAGCCGGCACCGACCCAUGGACGAGCCUCGAAUCAGCCAAGAUGGCUCCACAGAGCCCCUGCACUUCCUUGGUCGUGCCACCAGCUCUCUGUUCUGGGCCCUGCAGGACGACGUCUCAUCCCUGCUCGCCUACAAUUUCCAUUGGAGAAGGGAGUUUGAGGUCCUCCCGUUGCCGGACCACAUCCAAGGGCUGCCUUGCCGAGCCUUCGGCAACGACGACGGCGAGGCGUGCCUUGUUUGUUUUCAGGGCAGCAGCCUUCACGUCUUCGCGUAUAACGAUGGCGACUGGGACCUUGAGGAGAGCCUCGAAUUAGUGGAGGCCACUCGUGGGCUGGAAGGGCACAAAGAUGAGUAUUUCCGGGCGUCU